UCAGCGCUCUCCUGGGGCCGCGGGAAGUGCUGGAGUCUAUCCCAGCUGUCAACGGGCAAGAGGCGGGGAACACCCUGAACUGGUCGCCAGCCAAUCGGAGGGCACAUGGAGACAAACAACAGCCGCAGUCACAAUCACACCUAGGGGCAAUUUAGAGCGUCCAAUGAAUGUUGCAUGUUUUUUUUUGGGAUGUGGGAGGAAACCGGAGUGCCCGGAGAAAACCCACGCAGGCACGGACGGGGAGAACAUGCAAACUCCACACAGGUGGAGGCUGGGAUCGAACCCGCGACCUCAGAACUGUGAGGCCAACGCUUUCCAGCUGAUUAACCGUGCCGUCCCCUCCCCCAAUUUUCAUCAUUUGAGCUGCAAAUGGUGGAUACAAAAAAAUUUUUCAAAUGUGUUUGAAUUUCCAGAAGUCAGAGAAGAGACAAAGAUAUGGAUACAUUGUUAUUAAUAAUUCCAAAAGCACAUACAAUCUUCCAUGCAUGAACUAAUAUUAAUUAUGCAACUGGUAUGUCUUUGUAUGCUUGAUACCUUCGUGGCCUUAGUCAUUUAUUUUGAUUAGGGGAAUCGUAUUGCUCUCAUUUGUGUUUUUCCUGCACGCACCUUGCUAAAAUCCACUUUCUUAGCCGCUUAUCCUCACGAGGCUUGACAAAUACGCCGUGACUUUGAAGCAGUUUUUUCUCGACGGUCAAGCUCAAAGAAAGCGCCUCGUCCUGCUGCUUUUCGGGGCGACUAAACGAGUCCUGAUUGAAGACUUUCUCUGGCGCACCUGAACGCAAUGACGAACGAGGCGCCGGGUUCUGAUUGGCGCUGGUGACGGCGCCUAAAUAGACCCAGCGUGCCGACCGCUGCAGCAGCACACAAGGACAAGCCGGAGUUGGAUUGCGACGCGGGACCCAGUGAGCACGUUAACAAUGGCUUGUGACUUGUGUGUGAGGAUGUUUGUGUUCUGGCUGUUAGCCUUUGGGCACAAUUCAGAUGGACAUCGCUCUGGACACGUUGCGCCUCCUUUUGGGAUGCCUGGGAGCUCCCCCAGAAGCCUGGCAGGAAGUUGGGACCCACAGCUGUACACGCAACUCGAGUCUAACUCGGAGCGGUUCCUCGAGAACGAAGUCGGCGAGCAGGUCCCGGCCGUCGCCGACCCGCACGGCCGUCGCGGUGAAAGUUUGUCUCAGGAAGGUGGCGCUCCCGUUUCUGGCGGCCGGUCGUUCCAGUCGAAGCAAACCGCUUGCCAUCCCUGUCCCGAUUGCCACCGAGUUCCCCAUUGCCCGGUACAUCCUCACUGCCCUCGACCGUACUGCGUUCCCUAUCAUCGGCCUUGCCCUUGCUUUGAAAGGUGUUGCAAGCGCGGUCGCAAGUGUCACACUUGGUAUCCGUGGUAGGACCCUCCCGUGUGUGUGUGUGAGCCGGUACUUCUCCAUGGCAAUGACUAAUAAAUUGGUUACAAUUGAA